ensembl:snRNA U4 U4 spliceosomal RNA
CCCAUUUCGCAGAGGCAAUAUUGUAGCUUAUGAGGUACAUCCGAGGCGCGGUUAUUGCUGGUUGAAAACUUUAGCCAAUACCCCACCAGGAUAACUUGAAAUACAGUCAGCCUUGGCAAUUUUUGCCAGCUUCUCUGGAAG